GCCGGGUGUAGUGGCGGGCACCUGUAAUCCCAGCUACUCGGGAGGCUGAGGCUGGAGAAUCACUUGAACCCGGGAGGCAGAGGUUGCAGUGAGCCAGGAUCGCACCACUGCACUGCAGCCUGGGUAACAGAGUGAGACUCUGUCUCAA
rnacentral:SRP_RNA from 1 species